UACGUAGGGUCCAAGCGUUAUCCGGAAUCACUGGGCGUAAAGCGUGCGUAGGUGGCGUGUUAAGUGUGAUGUUAAAUCGUGUGGCUCAACCAUAUCGAUGUGUCGCAUACUGGCAUGCUAGAGGACAGCAGAGGCAAGUGGAAUUUGUAGUGUAGCAGUGAAAUGCGUAGAUAUUACAAGGAACACCAAUGGCGAAGGCAGCUUGCUGGGCUACUCCUGACACUGAGGUGCGAGAGCGUGGGGAGCGAACCGG
rnacentral:rRNA from 1 species